AUUGAACGCUGGCGGCAGGCCUAACACAUGCAAGUCGAGCGGAUGAAGGGAGCUUGCUCCUGGAUUCAGCGGCGGACGGGUGAGUAAUGCCUAGGAAUCUGCCUGGUAGUGGGGGAUAACGUCCGGAAACGGGCGCUAAUACCGCAUACGUCCUGAGGGAGAAAGUGGGGGAUCUUCGGACCUCACGCUAUUAGAUGAGCCUAGGUCGGAUUAGCUAGUUGGUGGGGUAAAGGCCUACCAAGGCGACGAUCCGUAACUGGUCUGAGAGGAUGAUCAGUCACACUGGAACUGAGACACGGUCCAGACUCCUACGGGAGGCAGCAGUGGGGAAUAUUGGACAAAGGGCGAAAGCCUGAUCCAGCCAUGCCGCGUGUGUGAAGAAGGUCUUCGGAUUGUAAAGCACUUUUAGUUGGGAGGAAGGGCAGUAAGUUAAUACCUUGCUGUUUUGACGUUACCAACAGAAUAAGCACCGGCUAACUUCGUG
rnacentral:rRNA from 1 species